AUCCUGAGAGGCCAGAACACCAGGCAGGCGGGGCAGGCUGAGGGGACGGCGCCGACACAGGCCCCCGCAGAGGGGCGCAGCCGCAUUUCCAUGUGGCCCCAGCAGCCCCGGGCUGGGUUGGAGGACUCGAGACUCUUGUGUGCCUGCCCCGUACAAGAAGAACAACAACAGAGGGCGCCCCGUGUGCAGGGCUUGGCUCCCAGAGUGCCAGGUCCGCUUGCCUGCAGCAUGCCCGGUGAAGCAGGUGCUGCUCCUGCACUAUUUUACAGGUGAGGGGACAGCCCUGGGCCACCUCUGUGACCCGAGUCA
rnacentral:lncRNA from 1 species